rnacentral:rRNA from 1 species
GAUGAACGCUGGCGGCGUGCCUAAUACAUGCAAGUCGAGCGAACAGACGAGGAGCUUGCUCCUCUGACGUUAGCGGCGGACGGUUUAGUAACACGUGGAUAACCUCCCUUUAAGACUGGGAUAACUUCGGGAAACCGGAGCUAAUACCGGAUUAUAUAUUGAACCGCAUGGUUCAAUAUUGAAAGACUGUUUUGCUGUCACUUAUAGAUCGAUCCGCGCCGCAUUAGCUAGUUGGUAAGGUAACGGCUUACCAAGGCAACGAUGCGUAGCCGACCUGAGAGGGUGAUCGGCCAAACGGGAACUGAGACACGGUACAGACACCUGAGGGAGGCAGCAGUAGGGAAUCUUACGCAAUGGGCGAAAGCCUGACGGAGCAAAGCCGCGUGAGUGAUGAAGGACUUCGGAUCGUAAAACUCUGUUAUUAGGGAAGAACAAAUGUGUAAGUAACUAUGCACGUCUUGACGGUACCUAAUCAGAAAGCCACGGCUAACUACGUG